rnacentral:rRNA from 1 species
CCCGCCGGAGGCGACCGCUGUGGGAGUCCGAUUAAGCCAUGCGAGUCGAGAGAAUAAGAUUCUCGGCAUACCGCUCAGUAACACGUGGAUAACCUGCCCUAUGCUGGGGAAUAACCUCGGGAAACUGAGAAUAAUGCCCCAUAGUUCACUACGCCUGGAACGGUGAGUGGAUGAAAGCUCCGGCGGCAUAGGAUGGGCCUGCGGCGUAUCAGGUCGUAGGGGGUGUAACGUACCCUCUAGCCAUCGACGCGUACGGGUGUUGGGAGACAUAGCCCGGAGAUGGAUUCUGAGACACGAAUCCAGGCCCUACGGGGCGCAGCAGGCGCGAAAACUUGACAAUGCGAGAAAUCGUGAUCAGGGGACUCCAGUUGGCUGGAUCAAAAGUCCAGUCUGAACCGACUUUAAAUCGGUCGGGUAAUAGGGGCGGGAAAGACCGGUGCCAGCCGCCGCGGUAAUACCGGCGCCCCAAGUGGUCGUCACUAUUAUUGGGCCUAAAACGUCCGUAGCCGGUUUGGUAAAUCCGUGGGUAAAUCAGACAGCCCAACUGUCUGAAUUCUGCGGGGACUGCCAGACUUGAGACCGGGAGAGGUGCGGGGUACCUGCGGGGUACCGGUAAAAUGGGAUCAUCCCGUAGGGACCACCUGUUGCGAAGGCGCCGCACUAGAACGGAUCUGACGGUCAGGGACGAAGCCUAGGGGCACGAACCGGAUUAGAUACCCGGGUAGUCCUAGGUGUAAACGCUGUGGACUUGGUGUCGGGGACCUUCUGAGGGUUUCCGGUGCCGGAGUGAAGAUGUUAAGUCCACUGCCUGGGGAGUACGGUCGCAAGGCUGAGACUUAAAGGAAUUGGCGGGGGAGCACCGCAACGAGAGGAGCGUGCGGUUUAAU